rnacentral:SRP_RNA from 1 species
UCUAAUUCGGGAGGGAUGCGACAUAUUCAGCGGAAUGAAGGCCGACGGGAGGGAGGAGGAAUGGAAGGCGCUGUUGG